GCCCUGUAGACUGGGAUAACUUCGGGAAACCGGAGCUAAUACCGGAUUAUCCAUUUCACCUCAUGGUGAAAUGUUAAAAGGCGCAUUCUCGCGUCACUACAGGAUGUGCCCGCGGUGCGUUAGCUAGGUUGGUGGGGUAACGGCCUACCAAGGCAACGAUGCAUAGCCGACCUGAGAGGGUGAUCGGCCACAUUGGGACUGAGACACGGCCCAAACUCCUACGGGAGGGAGCAGUAAGGAAUCUUCCACAAUGGAGGAAAGUCUGAUGGAGCAGCGCCGCGUGAGUGAUGAAGGUUUUCGGAUCGUAAAACUCUGUUGUAAGGGAAGAACAAGUACGUUAGGAAAUGAACGUACCUUGACGGUACCUUAUUAGAAAGCCACGGCUAACUACGUGCCAGCAGCCGUGGUAAUACGUAGGGGGCAAGCGUUGUCCGGAUUUAUUGGGCGUAAAGCGCGCGCAGGCGGUUUCUUAAGUCUGAUGUGAAAGCCCACGGCUUAACCGUGGAGGGUCAUUGGAAACUGGGAUACUUGAGUGCAGAAGAGGAAAGUGGAAUUCCAAGUGUAGUGGUGAAGUGCGUAGAGAUUUGGAGGAACACCAGUGGCGAAGGCGACUUUCUGGUCUGCAACUGACGCUGAGGCGCGAAUGCAUGGGGAGCAAACAGGAUUAGAUACCCUGGUAGUCCAUGCCGUAAACGAUGAGUGCUAAGUGUUAGGGGGUUU
rnacentral:rRNA from 1 species